rnacentral:rRNA from 1 species
GGGUCAGUAGGUUGGUCGUGCCACCGGUACGUACUGGUCUCACUGAUUCCUCCUUCCUGAAGAACCGUAAUGCCAUUAAUUUGGUGUUGCGGGGAAACAGGACUGUUACUUUGAAAGAAUUAGAGUGUUUAAAGCAAGCUAACGCUUGAAUACAUUAGCAUGGAAUAAUGAAAUAGGACGAUCGAUCCUAUUUUGUUGGUUUCUAGGAUUGACGUAAUGAUUAAUAGGUAGUUGGG